rnacentral:sRNA from 1 species
UAGAAUAGUGGUUUCGCUGGGAAUGGGU